rnacentral:rRNA from 1 species
CCUACGGGACGCAGCAGUGAGGAAUAUUGGUCAAUGGGCGAGAGCCUGAACCAGCCAAGUCGCGUGAGGGAAGACGGUCCUAUGGAUUGUAAACCUCUUUUGCCGGGGAGCAAAAAGCGGUACGUGUACCGCAUCGAGAGUACCCGGAGAAAAAACAUCGGCUAACUCCGUGCCAGCAGCCGCGGUAAUACGGAGGAUGCGAGCGUUAUCCGGAUUUAUUGGGUUUAAAGGGUGCGCAGGCGGCGUGUCAAGCAAGCGGUAAAAUAGCGGGGCUCAACCCCGUCGAGCCGUUUGAACUGGCGCGC